rnacentral:rRNA from 1 species
GACGAACGCUGGCGGCGUGCUUAACACAUGCAAGUCGAACGGAAAGGCCCUGCUUUUGUGGGGUGCUCGAGUGGCGAACGGGUGAGUAACACGUGAGUAACCUGCCCUUGACUUUGGGAUAACUUCAGGAAACUGGGGCUAAUACCGGAUAGGAGCUCCUGCUGCAUGGUGGGGGUUGGAAAGUUUCGGCGGUUGGGGCUGGACUCGCGGCUUAUCAGCUUGUUGGUGGGGUAGUGGCUUACCACGGCUUUGACGGGUAGCCGGCCUGAGAGGGUGACCGGCCACAUUGGGCCUGAGAUACGGCCCAGACUCCUACGGGAGGCAGCAGUGGGGAAUAUUGCACAAUGGGCGGAAGCCUGAUGCAGCAACGCCGCGUGCGGGAUGACGGCCUUCGGGUUGUAAACCGCUUUCGCCUGUGACGAAGCGUGAGUGACGGUAAUGGGUAAAGAAGCACCGGCUAACUACGUG